GAUCAUGCUCAGGAUGAACGCUAGCUACAGGCUUAACACAUGCAAGUCGAGGGGCAGCAUUUUAGUUUGCUUGCAAACUAAAGAUGGCGACCGGCGCACGGGUGAGUAACACGUAUCCAACCUGCCGAUAACUCGGGGAUAGCCUUUCGAAAGAAAGAUUAAUAUCCGAUGGUAUAUUAAAACCGCAUGGUUUUACUAUUAAAGAAUUUCGGUUAUCGAUGGGGAUGCGUUCCAUUAGUUUGUUGGCGGGGUAACGG
rnacentral:rRNA from 1 species